GUCCUGGUAUUGUAAUGGACAGCACCUUGGACUCCUAAUCCAAAGUUCGUGGGUUCGAACCCCACCUGGGAUG